AGCUCCAAGAGUGAACAUAAUAGUUGCUGCAGUUAAAAGGCUCGUAUUUGGAUUUGCGAACCAGCGUCGGUUGUUGGGUUUUCGAAUCCUCAGCCGGCUCUGGUUCUUUUCUGGGACCCGUGGACGGCGAGCGACUCCCUUGAAUGCGGAGCGCCGCUGCCCAACAAAACGGGCCCCUCGUUCACUGUGAACAAAUAGGAGAGCACAAAUCAAGCGUUUCUUUUCGCGUCUGCACUCUCUAGCUCAGGAUGAUAAGACAUGGCAGCACUAGCGCUGUUUUUUGUUUGGUCUCACGCUACGCUGCAAUGAUUAACAGGAUCAGUCGGGGCUAUUCGUAUUUGGCAGCUAGAGGUGAAAUUCUUGGAUUUGCCAACGACGAACUACUGCGAAAGCAUUUGGC
rnacentral:rRNA from 1 species